UUUUAGAGGCUUGUCUCAAAGAUUAAGCCAUGCAUGUCCAAGUAUAAACACUUUAUACAGCGAAACUGCGUACAGCUUAUUACAUCAGUUAUUAUUCAUUUGAAGGUGGAUUUCUACAUGGAUACCCGUAGUAAUUCUAGAGCUAAUACAUGCGUAAAGGUCCGACUUUUUGGAAGGACUGUGUUUAUUAGAUUCAGACCCAUUCCUCGCAAGAGGAUUGUUGGUGAUUCAUGGUAACCGUUCGAAUCGACCGCAAGGUCGAUGGUUCAUUCAAAUUUCUGCCCUAUCAGCUUUUGAUUGUAGUGUAGUGGACUACAAUGGCAUUAACGGGUAACAGGGAAUUAGGGUUCGAUUCUGAAGAUGGAGCCUGAGAAAUGGCUACAACAUCCAAGGAAGGCAGCAGGCGCGCAAAUUACCCAAUCCUGACCCAGGGAGGUAGUGACAAGAAAUGGUGAUGCCGAGAGGGUUUUCCUUUUUGGUAAUCGCAAUGAGAGGUAGUUAAAUCUAGCUAUCGAAAGCAACU
rnacentral:rRNA from 1 species